rnacentral:rRNA from 1 species
ACGUAGGGGGCAAGCGUUAUCCGGAAUUACUGGGUGUAAAGGGAGCGUAGACGGUACAGCAAGUCUGGAGUGAAAGGCUGGGGCCCAACCCCGGGACUGCUCUGGAAACUGUUAAACUGGAGUGCAGGAGAGGCAGGCGGAAUUCCUAGUGUAGCGGUGAAAUGCGUAGAUAUUAGGAGGAACACCAGUGGCGAAGGCGGCCUGCUGGACUGUAACUGACGUUGAGGCUCGAAAGCGUGGGGAGCA